rnacentral:rRNA from 1 species
UGCCUAACACAUGCAAGUCGAACGGCAGCGCGGGGAGCUUGCUCCCUGGCGGCGAGUGGCGGACGGGUGAGUAACGCGUAGGAACCUACCCAGUAGAGGGGGACAACCCGGGGAAACUCGGGCUAAUACCGCAUACGCUCUACGGAGGAAAGCAGGGGAUCUUCGGACCUUGCGCUAUUGGAUGGGCCUGCGUUGGAUUAGCUUGUUGGUAGGGUAAGGGCCUACCAAGGCGACGAUCCAUAGCUGGUCUGAGAGGACGAUCAGCCACACUGGGACUGAGACACGGCCCAGACUCCUACGGGAGGCAGCAGUGGGGAAUAUUGGACAAUGGGGGCAACCCUGAUCCAGCAAUGCCGCGUGUGUGAAGAAGGUCUUCGGGUUGUAAAGCACUUUCAGUGGGGAAGAAAAGUGUAAGGUUAAUACCCUUGCAUCUUGACGGUACCUACAGAAGAAGCACCGGCUAACUCCGUGCCAGCAGCCGCGGUAAUACGGAGGGUGCAAAGCGUUAAUCGGAAUUACUGGGCGUAAAGCGUGCGUAGGCGGCUCGAUUAGUCAGGUGUGAAAGCCCUGGGCUUAACCU